rnacentral:rRNA from 1 species
ACUCGACUACAUGAAGCUGGAAUCGCUAGUAAUCGUAGAUCAGCAUGCUACGGUGAAUACGUUCCCGGGUCUUGUACACACCGCCCGUCACACCACGAGAGUUUGUAACCCCCGAAGCCGGUGGAGUAACCUUUUAGGAGCUAGCCGUCGAAGGUGGGACAAAUGAUUGGGGUGAAGUCGUAACAAGGUAGCCGUAUCGGAAGGUGCGGCUGG